GUCGUAUUGUAAACUCGGCGUAACGCUUGUGCCGAGGAAGCCGCCACCGAACAUCGUGUUAAAAGGCUAAUUAGGAAAAAGUAGGGCCUACGUGUGCGAGUAUAAAAAUGGAAUCGAUGCAGAAUGCGUAUUCGAGAAAAGUUCACGAUUCUUACGAGGAUGAAGAGGAGAAGAAACAUUUUCAACGUAUUGUUUCAGCGUUCAGACAUUACAAAUCUCAUUCCCUGCAGAGAGUUAAAAAGACAGAAUCCUAUCUAUUAUCCUUACCAGUGCAUCAUCAAAAACUCUUAUCAAAAUAUAAAGAACAUCUUCAGGAAGUCAAGAGAUGUAUUGAAUAUAACAACGACAUAAUAAGGCUCAUCAUAAAAGAUGUAGCUCAUAUUUUUGAAAAUGUGAGCCCAGCUAGUGCACAAAAUGAUAGUACACAGAACACCCGACCUGUAUUGGCUGACCAAGAAAAAGUACAAGCUACUAUUAAACAAUUAGUUCGUGACUGGAGCGUGGAAGGAAGCGAAGAACGUAAGGCUUGCUAUCAGCCUAUCAUAGAUGAAAUAACUAAUCAAUUUCCAUUAGAUAAAUGUACUCCAUCACAAGUGCAAAUUCUAGUACCUGGUGCAGGAUUGGGUCGUCUUGCGUAUGAAAUUGCAAGGCGUGGUUACACUUGCCAAGGGAACGAAUUUUCUCUCUUUAUGCUCUUCGCGUCACAUUUUGUAUUAAAUAAAUGCAGAGGUAUAAAUUCAUAUCAAGUACAUCCAUGGGUACACCAAUAUAUGAACAAUUUAAAACCAGAACAUCAAACGCAGGCUGUUUUCUUCCCUGAUGUAAAUCCCAGUGAUCUUCCAGAAAAUGCACAAUUUUCUAUGACGGCAGGAGAUUUCUUAGAAGUUUAUACGGAAGAUGAUCAUUGGGAUUGUGUUGCUACAUGUUUCUUUAUAGAUUGUGCAAACAACGUGGUACAAUUUAUAGAAACCAUCUAUAAAAUUUUAAAACCGGGAGGAGUAUGGAUAAAUCUUGGUCCGUUGCUGUAUCAUUUUAGUGACAUGCCUAUGGAAGAUUCAAUAGAACCAAGUUAUGACGCGGUUCGUGAUGUUAUACAAGGUUUUGGUUUUCAUCUUGAGAAAGAAGAGACACAUAUGAAAACACGUUACGCGCAAAAUGUGAACAGUAUGUUACAGUGCGAGUAUAAUAGCGUUUAUUUUGUAUGUCGGAAACCUAAAAGGCAUAUUAAUAUGUUGGGCCAUCAAAAUGGUGCUGAAAGUAAUGGCAUACAAGAACAAGAACAAGAAAAUUAAAUCUUGACAAAUCUAAUAUGUUUUACUCAUGAGGAAAAUUGAUGGAAUUGUACAAGGACUAAAGUACUACAAUUUAUACAGAACAAAUUCAAAGACAACCAUAACAUAUUUAACUUCUGGUGCUAACGAAGCCUUAUUUAGUUUUUUCUUUAUCCUUGGUCAUUAUUGCAAAUUAUGAAGACAAGUUAAAAAAUCAAAUUAAUUUAAACGAACAGACAAAGUUUCAUCGGAGAAGAAACUACAGCUUACAUAAAUAAAUGUAUCAUUUUUCUAUAUUAUCAUUAAUUCCUUUCAAAAAUUAUUGUAAAAAGCAUGUAUAGAGAAUGAUAUAUAAAUGAUCACUGAAAGUUUUUACUUCGUUAUAUGUGUUAUUAUUCAAAUAUAUAAUUUUGUAAUGGCAAAUGUGGAAGUAAAUACUUUUCAAGCGUUUUUUUCUCUCUAUCUUUCUAUUAUGUUCAUAUUAACAAUUAUUUUCUAACUACCUUACAAAUUGAACUCUCUCAUUAAAUACAGUUAAUCCAUUGUCUUAUUUAAUAAAUCUCAAUAAAAUACAAUGAGAAUAACAUAUCUAAUUUAUAUAGGUUUUGCACUCCAAAUUAACCCUUUUACAGAUCAUAUUCACCUUUUUCGGCAAAUCAAAUUGACUAGCCAACAAUUAGGAGUUAAAUUAUUUUCCUAUUUACAGUAAUAAAUAUUUAAAGAAUAAUUGUAUGUGUGUGUGUGUUCUGAAUUUUUCGCAAAUAUGAUCUGAAAGAGUUUUAAAUUAUAAUAUUAAAAAGUGAAUAUGAUUUGCAAAAAAGUUAAUUUGAUGUAUAAAACCUGUAUAUUAUAUUUCGUCGUAAGGAACAAAAUUUGAAUUUCAACAUUAUAAAUCUGACUAUUUAAGCUUUAUAUCGAUCUUCUGCGUCAGUGCCUUUCAGAUAUUUUUAUUGUAUAAAUUAUUUAUAUUAUUAAUACUUCAUUUUUCCGAAAAAUUAAAUAAAAAAAAUAAAUUUAAAGUAAAUAUAAAUCGUAAAUAUAAGACAUAAGACUGUUACAAAGUAUGUAAAAAGAAAUGAAUAUAAUGAAUGUGUAUUGCUAAGUUCAAUACAAAAUUACAAGUCCGUAGAUGUAUUUACCAUUGUCAAGAUAAUAUAGUUUCUUCCAUUAUUCUUCCUUAAUGCAUAAUUUUAUUAUCAUUUGACAUAUUUUGCGUAUAAUUGAAGAACUACACAAAUAUGAUUGUUUCAUUUUUAUGUUUUGCUAUUUUUAAGAUCUUCAGAAAUAAGCAAUAAUUUGUUAUAUGGAAUAAGUGCAGAUCAAUUUAGAUGUAAGUUAGUUUAGAUUUAAUGAUGUAAUUAAUAUAAUUUUAUAAUAAAAUCUAUUCUACACGA
rnacentral:misc_RNA from 1 species